UAAUUAAGGAAGUAUGAUAAUGUGUACAUAAAUUGAAUUGGGUCUCUAAAGUCUAGGCGCUUUCUGAUGCCAUUUAGCUUUGAUUUGAAGGCAUAGUUUCACAGUAAAACA